rnacentral:misc_RNA from 1 species
GUUUUUGUUGUUCUCUUCUCUUUUUUGUGUCUGGGGAUUCCUAUCAUUUGCUAUUGGGGUUCUGGGGGUAGGGGAGGGGGGCAGGGUUUGAGUUGUUGAUCUGGUUAAAAUGUUAAAGAGUGUACAAUAGUUUACAGAUAAUGGAGGAAGCAGUUGCCCAGCCUCGAAUGGAAGACCAGCAGAAGGUAAGGACUGUAAUAAGGUUUCCAUUCGGUCAAUCCCAGAGUGGUGACAACUAUGUG